rnacentral:rRNA from 1 species
UGUAGGCUGCAACUCGCCUACAUGAAGUUGGAAUCGCUAGUAAUCGCGAAUCAGAAUGUCGCGGUGAAUACGUUCCCGGGUCUUGUACACACCGCCCGUCACACCACGAGAGUUUACAACACCCGAAGUCAGUGGCCUAACCGCAAGGAGGGAGCUGCCUAAGGUGGGGUAGAUGAUUGGGGUGAAGUCGUAACAAGGUAAC